CACGUAGGGGACGAGCGUUGUCCGGAUUCAUUGGGCGUAAAGCGCACGUAGGCGGUUUGUCGCGUCUGCCGUGAAAGUCCGGGGCUCAACUCCGGAUCUGCGGUGGGUACGGGCAGACUAGAGUGAUGUAGGGGAGACUGGAAUUCCUGGUGUAGCGGUGAAAUGCGCAGAUAUCAGGAGGAACACCGAUGGCGAAGGCAGGUCUCUGGGCAUUAACUGACGCUGAGGAGCGAAAGCAUGGGGAGCGAACAGG
rnacentral:rRNA from 1 species